GAGGCAGAACUAACAAGGAUUCCCCUAGUAACUGCGAGUGAAGCGGGAAAAGCUCAAAUUUGAAAUCUGGCAGUCUUUUUUUUCUUCUUUGGCUGUCCGAGUUGUAAUCUAGAGAAGUGCUUACCUGCGCUGGACCAUGUAUAAGUCUCCUGGAAUGGAGCGUCGCAGAGGGUGAGAAUCCCGUCUUUGACAUGGACCUGCCAGUGUGUUGUGGUGUGCUCUCAAAGAGUCGAGUUGUUUGGGGAAUGCAGCUCUAAAUGGGUGGUAAACUCCAUCUAAAGCUAAAUAUUGGCGAGAGACCGAUAGCGAAACAAGUACCGUGAGGGAAAGAUGAAAAGGACUUUGGAAAGAGAGUUAAACAGUAUGUGAAAUUGUUGAAAGGGAAACGCUUGAAGUCAGUUAUGUCGGCUGGGGAUCAACCUAGCUGUCUUUGCUGGGUGAAUUUCCUAGUCUGGCAGGCCAACAUCAGUCUUGACUGCUGGAAAAGAGCGGGGGGAAUGUGGCACCUUUGGGUGUGUUAUAGCCCUUUGUCAUAUGUGGCAGUCGGGACUGAGGGAUGCAGCGUGCCGUGAGGCCGGGUUUCGACCAUGUUCACGCUUAGGAUGUUGGCUUUUAAUGGCUUCAAUCGACCCGUCUUGAAACACGGACCAAGGAGUCUAACAUGCCUGCGAGUGUUUGGGUGGAAAACCCUUGUGCACAAUGAAAGUGAAAGUUGAGAUCCCUGUCGUGGGGAGCAUCGACGCCCGGACUUGAGCUUUUAGCGAUGGAUCCGCGGUAGAGCAUGCAUGUUGGGACCCGAAAGAUGGUGAACUAUGCCUGAAUAGGGCAAAGCCAGAGGAAACUCUGGGGGAGGCUCGUAGCGAUUCUGACGUGCAAAUCGAUCGUCAAAUUUGGGUAUAGGGGCGAAAAGACUAAAUCGGAACCCA
rnacentral:rRNA from 1 species